GCCCCGGCCGCCAUGUUGGGUGAGGGCAGCGUCUCUCUGGCAAGGCGGGGGCGUUUAUUGGGGGCUUCUGAUGAGUCCCGGCCAUUCCCGGUGACUCCCGGUGUCUCCCAUGGAACGGCAGAACAGGAUCCGGCGGAACCGCUCUGGUGGUGAGCGGGGCGGCAGUGGCUCUUUGGCAUGCUCGGGUGGACUGAUUUUCAGCGCCUCCCAUAUGGUCUAGCGGUUAGGAUUCCUGGUUUUCACCCAGGCGGCCCGGGUUCGACUCCCGCAAGAAAAUUCCUGCUUGUGUCCCACGGUGUGUUUUAAACCACCCUAACUUCCUCAAGGCAAAUAGGAUUGUGCUGAAGAUACAUAUUUAGAAAUCCACAUAUGAUGUACAGAUUUAUACAUGUGGGGGCUCAUUUAUUGCUGAAGGUACUCCUGGCAUCUCCCCCAGACCUGUGGACUCAGAGAUGUGCUGGGGUUUCCUGGAUUCCAGAGAUCCUGGGAGCUGCUGCUGCCACAGAUCCGGGGCCAUCACCUUGGGUGUCCCCUCCACAGAGCCAUCAGUCACCUUGGGUGUCUGUGAAAAAUGCGUAUUUUAUGACUGGCUUUUUGCAAAUAAUAAAAAAUAAUAUUAUAUGUGUUAUGUUAGAAAGUUAUGCUGUGUUAAUUUUCCUAAAUAGUGUGUUAAAUAUAGUUUUAGGUUAUAACAUAAUGUUAAAAUAGAAACUAUGGUACGUAGGAUACUUUUUUUUAAGAGAGCACUCGGACCGAGAUAGCAGCCACAGGACACCUAAAUCUAUCAGAGAAAGAGAAUUUAUUGCUCCAUUAUCAGAAGAAACGAACUUCUUCCUGCCUUGCUCAGCCCUGAAGACACCAUCAGGAUUCAGAGGAAGAAGCUGACACUGACCAGACAGAAUCCUGUGUUUGAAUGGAAUUGAUGCAUCAUGAAUGCGUGUAUGAAUAUGCAACAGGCCGUUGCUUUUAAGGGUUAAUCCUCUGUUAACAGUGGGUCCUUUUUCGGGCUUAUUUUGCCCAGAGAAGGUACUCGGACUGUCUAUAACUCCUUGUUUUUAUUGUCUCAUAUUGUCCUAAAUCCUAAUUGUCCAAAUUAUUAUUACUCUAAUUACAUUGCUAUUUUUAUAAUCAUUUUAUUACUAUUAAACUUUUAAAAUUUUAUAAACAA